UCCUAACUAAUGCACUCCCCUCCCAUACAAAUCCCUCAUUCCGUCUUCCCCACGAACCCUAGCCAACCACACCAUCUCAGAAACUCCUUCAUCUCUUUCCACCACCAGCUAGCGGCGACUCCCAAAACCGCCCCAAACUGUCACCAUACAGUCAUCACCCACCCGUAUUUCACAAUCCAUCACGAGUUCCCCUUAAAAACUCACCAAAUCCUUUCAAUCUCGGAUCUGAAAACCCAUGAAAACAAAGAAAAACCUAAUUUUUUUCCAUUUCUCAUUUUCUGAUUUCUUGGCUCAUGGCUAUUCGUCGUGACCUAGAACCUACGUCAAUGGAGUGUUCUUGACAAAGAAAAAUCAAUUGACGUUGGUUGUGGUACAUUUAAAAACCGCUAGUUUAGACCAUUCCAAUUGAUUGGAUUUAUGAGGGUCGCUGGAGUUUGGUGUUUCUCUAGUUUGUUUCGGACCCACUAGGUAAUUUUCUACUGUUUUUAUGGUUUUCUUUUAUUCUUUCUUUCUUCUUGUUUUUUUUCUUACUAGAGCUAGUGUGUUUUGCAUCAUGCAUGAAGUAUCGGAAAUGUUUUAGCUCUAGAUAAUCAUAUUUUAGGUUCAGUGUGGAUUUUGUAAAUUAAACGGUUCAAUUAUCUGUCGUUUUUGAUUUAAUUUACACUAAUCAAUUUGAUUAUUUGGAAAAGCAGAUGUCUAGUUUGUUUGAUUAGUUGCUUUUAGGUUUUUCUUAUGGAUAAAUAACCAACUAGUUUUAGGCCAUAGUGUUUAGCUUAAUUUCGUUGUUUCUUUAGAUUGUCAAGUUUGGGUCUACUUUUGGCCUUUUGCUAUCCCUGGGUUGGGCAGAAGAAGCCUAUUAUUUUUGCUUGGGUCUUGGGUCAACUUUAAGGGGUAAAUACAUGGGUGUCAAGGGUUGUUUUGGUUAUUUGAGGAUUGGAAAUAUUUUCUAUUUUGGGGGGAAGCUUCUAGAGGAUAAAGGUAGACUUGCAUGUGAAGGGAUAAAGAAGGGUUUAGAUAUUUUAAGGGGUUAAGGGGUAAAAUGACUAAGAAAAAUAAGGGGUAAAAGGGACAACUACGGGCUGGAUAAUGAUGUCCUAAGGUUGGCUUAUAAAAGGAACUUUUGAUAAUUCUAUAGGGGGAUAGCAGAAAAGAAGCACAAAACUGACUGAAGCCUUUUCUUAAAAAAUACAGCCCUUUCAGUACUUUUCUCAACACGUAAAAACCUGAAAGCACACAUUGACAAGAAUUUCUAAAGGUAAAAAAUAUUUACAUAAAAGGUAAUCCAAAAAAUGUUCCAUUGGUUAGUUGAUGUAAUUUUUUCUGGGUUUUUGAAAGCUUGAACACCCCACUGUUUUCUAGUGUCGAACAUGGAUUAAGUUGAUGGUGUUGUUGCUGUUUAUUGUUGUUUAAAACUCUACUGAUCUCAUUGUUAUUUUGCUGAAAUUUUUUAUGAUUUGGUUUUAUCCAGGUAUUCUUUCAUUCUUGAGUAUAUGUGAAGUGCAAAUCUGAAACCAUGUAAUCGACUUGGAGAUUGAAGGAUGAAUAUUAGCUUGUUGAAUAUUAGGUUAUGUUUCUUUAAAGUCUAUCCUUGUUUCCAUAUUAUAUUAGCUUUGUUGUAUGGUUUCUUAUAUUCAUAAAUGCUAUUAUUGUUCAUAUUUUAUUUCAAGGUUUGAUUGGACUUCAUUUUAUCACGUCAGUUUUGGUUUGAUUAACUCGUUCGUCUAAUCAUAUUGCUUAGGCUUUUGUGGUAUGGAUUUGGGUUAGAUGAGGAGCAUCUCUUGGCUUUUUUUAUUUAAAUGAGUUUAGGUCAGUAGUGAGGUUCAAUCCAGGGAUGAAUUCAUGAUUUUGUUGUCUUGGCUAUUUAUUUUAAGUGCCUAAAUGUGUUUAAAAGCCAUGGUUAUUAUUGCAAUUGUCCAUCUAAAUGUACGGAGUGACCAUACCAUAAAAAGUAUGUUGCCUGCAAUUUGUUGAAUAUAUAGUUCUUGAAUAUUCUAUAGUUUGAUUCUAAAUUAGAUGAUGAACAAAUUUUAUUUUCUUUGAUGAUAUUGGUUUAGAUUAGUGUUUGAUUUACUCAUUGGCAUAUCAAUCAUUUGAAGGAUUGCAAAACAAAGUAGUCCAAAUGAGAAAAAUGCUGAACAAUGUUGAUACCCAAUUUUUUCGAUAUAUUUUUUACGCAAAAUACUUUCAAAAUAGCAUGUAUAUGCAUAUAUAGGUAUGUCCAAGUGAUUUAACAUUUGUUCUUAAUUUAUAAGGAUUUUUUAAUCAAGUUACUACCCUAUUUUAGCAGUAUAAAACCAAUAAUUAUUCCUCAAAUUAUCAUUUCGGUGAUUAUUUAUUUUAUUCUCAUAUUUAUCCCAACAUUUAACAAAGGUAGUUUUUACACAUUUUUUACAAAUUUAUUUUGUAUUUUUAAAGAUAAAUUACAUAUAAUUGUAAUAUUAGCCUAUUUUAAGAAUUAAUUGCGUUUAUAAUUACAAAUUUGAUUCCAGUAUUUUUAAUCAAAUAUUAUACAUUAAUACGUAAUUUAUCACCGUUAAUUUAUUUUCAGAAAUUAUGUUACUAAUUUAUCAAAUAAAAAGAGAAAAAGUGGCUAUUUAAAAUCUGGCCCUAAUUCAUUUCAAAUUUAUCCCAAAUUGACCCGACACAUAACUACAAUUUCAAUUUCAAUUACCCGGCCCUAUUUCUAAAGUAUCCGAACCGUUUAUUUUUACUGGCCCGACUCCCCUUUGAUCCGAUAAAAAUUAUCAACGACCACGAUUCCACCUUUCCUUUUUUAAUUUCCCAAACCCCCAACCCUAAAUAGUUUUUCACUUGAGACGCCGCCUUUGAAUUUCUUCACCAUCUCAAACUAUGUCCAACCUUCUCUGAACCCCAAUCGUCUCCUACCACUUCUAUCCUGAAACUCACCUGAAUCCAUGUCUUUUCGGGCCGUGGGAGUCUUGUACUCAUUCCCUUGCUCUUACACACCUGAUAUCUGAAGAUUCAAUGCCAGACCUCAAAGGUUUGCGCUCAAACCAUUGCCGACUCAAGUUUCGAGAGUCAUCGCCGGCCUUGCUUUGGCAGACCGUAGUUGUUUGAGCCUGGUUAAAACCUCUCUGACUCAGACCAAUGACCUUUCAAAGGCUUUCUCAUCUCUAGGGUUCUUUUGAAACCCAAACUCCUCGAGGUUUUCUCCGAUUUCUUUAAAUUUGUGGGGUAUCUGUGCUAUCUUUGAGUUUUCAACAAUCACACACUUCAGACUUCACAAUUUCACAAUCUCUUCUGAACUCACACUUAUAGUAUUCUGUCUUCCUGUUUGCACUGUCUUUUACAAUACUACUACUUUUCUACUUAUUUCUUUGAAACUGGCAAGUCCUAAUUGAAGUUUCAGCAUCACCCCAAUGUAUUUACUUACAGUCUUUGUAUCCAUGUCUACUUUAUUAUUUUCUGUAGAUUUCGACAUUCAGUUUAUUAUGCCUAUGUUCUACUAUCUGUUUUUGUUGUGAUCCUUGGCUCCCUAUCACAUUACCCUUAUGCAAGAUUGUGAGUGGUAACUUGGGAACACGAAAAUAUGAAUUGUUAUCCAUGAACUGAGUUUUCAACCAAUGGGGUCUUAAUGUCUAAACAGGUUGGAGGGUGUGCCUUCCCAUUGCUGAGUAUGCCCAUUAGCCUGCUUUUUGUGAUCUUGCUAGCCCCCUAUUCCUUAUAUCCCUAUCUGUACUAUUUACCUUCCCCUUUACCUUGUUCAGAAUUAUGCACUUGCAUUCUCUCUCUUAGUUCCUAAGUUCCAUCCCCCUCUUGUGAGCCUUUCCUUGGGACCUUAAGUUCCCUCUGAACUUGUACACCUGAGGGUUAGCCCUUCCUCAGUGUACUAUGGCUUAAUAUGGUAAUACAUUUGAAUGUAAAUACUGCCCGGAGCUCUUAUGAAAUUCUUAGGGAACUUUGACACACCUAGAUGAGAGAAUGGCUUUGAAACAUGAUCUUCGGAGUUGGUUUACUUCAUAAAUCCGACAUGAAGUCUGAAUCAGGCCCUCCUUGGUUGUAAUUUUCAAUUUCUGAUGUCUUUUCUUUUCAUUAGAUUGCAAUAACUUGUAAUAAAACCUUUUGAAGGAUGGUUAGCGAAAAGGGAGAGGUAACCAUGCAUGUAAAAAGGUAAAUAACUUGCCAAUAGGAAUCUCUAACUUGAAUAUUUCCUUGCCUAUAGGAAUCUCUAACUUAGCUAUUUUCUCAUAUAGCUAUCCUGCCUAUAAGAUUUCUGUAUUUUUUAUAUAGCUACCCUGCCUAUAAGAUUUAUACAUUUUUCAUGUUGUUAUGAUGCCUAUAAGAUGUCUGCAUUUUUCAUAUAGCUACCAUGCCUAUAAGCAAUUCCGCAUUCUCAUUAGUUACCAUGUUUGUAAUAAUCUCAGCAUUCUCAUUUAUAUGCCAUGACUAUAUGAACUUCAACAUUCUUAUUUAGAUGUCAUGACUAUAGGGAUCCUGCACUUUCAUGUAGAUAUUAUGUCAAUAGUUUCUGCACACCCACGUUGAAAAUAUUCCAAUAGGUCCUUUCUUACUCUUGCAUACCCACUUUUCACUUGGCAAACUUGCCUAUAGGUCCUAAUAACCAAAAAAAUGUAAUCAGAUAUCACGCACUGCUUAGAUAUCUUAUUGUAGAAUGCAAUUAGCUCUUGCUUAUUUUAUUUAUUUGUGACCAUCACAUGAAAAUUCCCUUGUUUGUGAAACUCUUACUUGCUUACGUGUUAUUUGCAUUUAAAUCACAAUAAUAGCUUGGCCGGAAACCACACUAGUGGAUCCUGAGGGGUGGCUAACACGUUCCCCUUGGGAUAAUUUCAAGCCCUUACCCAAUAUCUGGUUUUCAAAAUUGAACUCUCCUUAGUGUCCUAGUGCACUAUAAUCAUUAGGCGGAGACUCUUCAAUUCCUUUAAACACAAUUCCCAAAUGGGAAAGAGUUCUCCUCCCGAAUGUUAAAAACCCGAUUUCGCGAGAAAAAGGGGCGCGACAACAUGGAGACUCUACUGGGGAAUUCUUUUAGGCUUUUACCAUUUCAAGCUAUUACUGCGACUAUACGUUUCUUAUAUUCCUUUACUUGUUUAAUUCCUUUAAGCAUUUAAUUCCCUCUUCUACUACGAAACUAACUUGUCUUUUUGUUUCUUUCCCUUAUUUCUUUUACUGCUUUCCUUUACUUCAUUCCUUUAUUACUGUUUUAAAUAAUUGUAAUUAUUAUUAUGAACGUUCAAAUACGUGGAAACUUGGUUAAUUAUUGCAAUUGCAUGUUUCAAGCAUCAUAUUCCACUCGUGCCAAACAAAAAUACCAUAGGAACACUUAAAAUGAGUGGUUGCGUUCUUCCGAUAUUAUCACCCCCUGAAUUCGGCAAAUGCAUAUUUGCUAUAAAACCAGUCGAUCAACGGUGUAGUCGAUGGUUCCACGCCUUUCCCUCUUGAGUUUUCCGCUCAAGGGUACCAGUGUAAUACCCCAUAGAAACCUUACUCUGUAUAAUUGUGCAUGCAUUAUAGUCAAACCUAGCCGAGUCAGUCAUGUUUUCUGAAAAUGACUCUUUAAGAUAGCCUUGUCCAAAGUCCACUAUGUUUCACCAAAACCCAAACGAGCACUACCACAUUUUGUGCAUUAAUUUGGAGAACUAAAUGUUUCUAUGCCAAUUACUGAAAUUUGAUAGUCGAGUCUGGUGGGGGUAAGGGCCUAACCCUUUGUAUUUCAAAAACAUAUGGCACGAGGUUCCCAAAUUUGGCAUGGUCACUAACAUCCACCCCAAACUACUGAGAUGGCAGAAGGAUUUUCACUCCAGCGAUCAGACAUUCAUUCGAAAACGUUUAGAACCUACUCUCUCUCUUGGGAAUUCAACCCAACAACAAAAUCCUAAAACCUGCUACUCUAUUCUAGAAUUAUGAUGGGUCUAUAUUCCGCUCGGAGACAUUGAGAUGACACUUCUGCUCGAGGAAAUAGGAGGACUAGCUGGUAUACCGUGAGAAAUUCUAGGUUUAUUAAUGCCAGAAAAUCGCAAAGACAAAGGUUUUCUCAAAAUGAUGGGUCUAAGUAAGAAUUCAGACUUGACAUGUUUAAAAGAGUCGUACAUUCCCUUUGACUACUUGUAUGAGAGGUAUGGUCACAACAAAUCAUACCGUACUUAUCCUGAUGUAUUUGUCCUUACAUUAGUGCGGCAUAUUCACCGAAGGGUAUUUGUUUUCAUAUUAUGUUUCAUGCGGAUAAUAGUAUUUCCAAUGAAGAAAUCAAGGAUCUAUACCAGGCUAGCUAUGGUUACCAAAACUCUAAUAGAAGGAAUAGACAGACAACCAUUCACUCUUGUACCAAUGAUCAUUGCAGAAAUAUACCAAGGCUUGGAAAAGUGUCAACAAAGAGCCAAACACUUUGAGGGUCAUAAUCUGCUACUUCAACUUUGGCUUGUAGAACAUCUCCAAAAGGGUGAGUACCGACAGGAAAUCCAUCGAAGGGACUGGGAUGAUCAAAUUGCUUUUCAUCACCCUAGGGGAAUGAAUUACAUGCCCAACGUAUUCGCCCAACCGGUGAAUGCUAGAGAAUGGGUCGAACUCUUUGAAAAUAUGACUCAGGAUCGAGUACAAUAGAUGUUCGAGUGGUUCCCAAUUGAAGAGUUCAUCGUCCAAUCCAGGGACGCACCUUUCCUUAUACUAAUCGGCUUAAGAGGAAAGUACCCAUACGCACCUCUUCGAGUCAUGAUACAAGCAGGUUGGAAGCAAGUUAUACCAAGGGUCGACAAGAUAAGUCACUUCCUGGCUGACUUCCAGAAUGAAGAUAGCCUUACAAGUGCCAGGCGCAGCACAUGUGGCAUUGCAAAAUUGUCAUGGGAAAGGACACCAUUGAACUAGACAGAUACCACAUGGGUUGUGAGCCCUAUUAAAUAGGUUGGUUGGAGGAUAAUCAUAAUGGUCUGGGUCACCCUGGGUUUCUUCGAGGCAACCGGAUCAUAGAUGAAAAGGUCGAAGCACAUGUCAAGUACGGCCAUCUGCGCAAGAGAAUUCAACAAUGCAAAAGCAAGCACAGUCAGAUAUAGGAAACUAAUCAAAAACUAAUUGAAGAAUUGAAGGAUAUGGUUGCCAGUGAUAAAAACAUUUCGUCUUUUUUGAGCGAGGUAUAGUAGAGUUGGAGAAGAAGUUUCUGAAGAGGGUCAAGACUGCCGGGCUGCUGAAGGAAAUGAAGGCGGACAUCUGGCUAGAGCCUACUUGUUGUUGGUACUGCGUGAGAUAGGGAAGCUAUUUGAUGGAGACAAUGAUGCCGAAUCUGGGGAAGGUCCCUCUGGGACGAAAUAGAUAGGAAUCUCCAUGUUCGCUAAUAAGGCCAACGACCACUAGUGUUUUUAUUUCCUUGUUAUUUAGUGUCAUUUUGGGAUUCGUCUACUUUUUUAUUUAUGAAAUGAGGCAUUUAGCAUUCGAAUUUCUCCAAAUCAACUUGUCGCUAGGUCUACCUUGGGCAUAACGAGGUCCCCAAAAUUAGGACGUGCUUUAUACUUCAGUACUACAUGUUUAAAUAUUGCAACAAUGUUCUAGUGAUCCUCAAUAACUUGUUACCUUUUUGUUUUUACUUUUUUGUUUAUUCCUCUUCACAUAGGUUAGUUUGUGAAUUCUGGCAACAUCAUUAUAUUUUACGAGAUCCAGGGGCCCUCUACCUAAUCCUCCUCCUAGCCCUGUUAGACACAAAAACAAACGAAACAUGGAAGACUUGAACAACUCAACUAAACAGGUAGAGGUCACUCAUGGUGCUCUGGGCUAUUGACGUCACCUUUCGGAAGGUUGUUAUGUUGUUUCAGCUCAAUAUUAGUAUUGCCUGAGGCUUUGAGAUUUGGCAUUGAUUUUUAUGGUGAGUUUCAAUCAUGCAAUAUUUGUGUAAUGGUAGGGUGCUUGCCUAUGCGUCGAAGUAGUGAAUAAAUUGAAAAGAGGUUUGCGUAGUGCACAAUUCAGAUAUUUUGUAUUUUAUUUUCGUAGGAGAAAAGGCAAUUAGAUUAUGAAUAUUCAAGUUUGGGUUGAUGGAGUAACGAGACUUGAUAUUUUCAAGCGUGUUAUAAUUUUCAUCAGUAAUAUGGUGUCAUCACCCUUCAUCGAAUGUGUUAAGUUUGUUGGUGUUAUGGUCUUUAUCAUUUAUCCUCGGGGUAGAGUAGUGUGAGAUGGUGCCGAAGAAACAGUUGUCAGAGAUAGUGGAGUGUAGCAUUUUCAGAAUUCAAAUGGUGCAGUGGAGAAUGUAACGAACUGAUCGAUCGUUUUGAACUCUUGCAUGUCAUUCGGUAGUUUGAGGCCAUGAGUAGCUUAAUUUUAUGUAUAUGACUUGAAUGCAUGAUCGGAAUUGGUGUUUCGAUAGUUCAGAGUUGAUUUGGAAAGAAAAUUCUCAUUUCAGAAGCAUUAAGUUGGAAGAAUUGACUAAGGAUGGAUUUUUCAGCAUAUGACAUUGGAAUCGGGAUUUGAAGUUUCCAGGAGGUUUGUAUGAUGAUUUCUGACUUGGGCGUAUGGUUAUAUCGGGUUUUGGAAGACUCGGAUAUGGAUUUUGGAGGUCCGUAGGUCAUGUCUGGGUUAAUUGGCGAAAGUUAAAAAAUUGAAGGUUUUUGAGAAGUUUGGUGGGAGGUGGACUUUUUGAUAUCAGGGUUGGAAUCUUAUUCUAGAAGUUAGAGUAGGUAUGUAAUGUUGAACGUGAGCUGUGUGCAAAAUUUGAGGUCAAUCGGACGUGAUUUGAUAGGUUUCAGCAUCGAAUGCAGAGGUUUGAAGUUCUAAAGUUUAUAAAGCUUGAAUUAAGGUGUGAUUCCUGAUUUUAGUGUUUUGUGAUGUGAUUUGAGGCCUUGAGCAAGUCCGUUUCAUGUUUUGGAAUGCAUUUGUAUAAUUGGUUGAUGUCCCGAGGGCCUCGGGUGGAUUCCGGAUGGUUAAAAGGUUGGUUUUUGGACUUAUGAUUUUCUGAAGCUUAAGACUUCUGGUGUAAUCAUACCUGCGUGAUGUUAGCAACAAGUGUGAGACCACAGGUGCGGCGUGUCGGUUGCGAAAGCGAAAAUGGACUGGAGCUGGUAGGGCCCCAAGUGCGACAAAUUUCCCGCAAGGAGCAGAUUUUGUCUUCAAAUGUGGACCUAGCUGAACCUCACAUACGAUGGGAAUUUUGUAGGUGCGGAGCCGCAAAAGAGGCUAGUGGACCGCAUGUGCGAAUGUUGGUUGGGUAGUGAACUUAUAUUGCGGGAUUUGGCCCAUUUUUCUUUCAUUUGUCUCUUGGUUGGGCGAUUUUUGGAAAGUUUCAAGCGGGGGGUUUCAUUACGUAUGCCAAGGUAAGUUAUUCCCAUCCGUUGUAAGUCAAAUACAAUGGUGGUUCCUCUAGUGGUAAGUACCUUCCACUUCUAACCAUGAGGUUGUGAGUUCAAGUUACCCCAAUGCCAACAUGUGGAGUUCUUAGAGGGAAGAAUGCCGAGGGUCUAUGGAAAAUAGCAUAUCUAUCCAAGGGUAGGGGUAAGGUAUGCAUACACACUACCCUCUGCAGACCCCACUAGUAGAAUUAUACUGAGUUGUUGUUAUUAUUGUAUGCCAAGAUAAGUUAUUUCCAGCUAUUGUAAGUCAAAUAUAUGGUUUUUAUAUGGAUUCAAGGAUGAAAAUUUGUAGAAAAUUAGAAAUUUUGGUAGAAAACCUAGAAAAUGAUAUUGUUGAAAUUUGACCCAGUAUUAGGGAUAGAAUUUGAGAAUAGAUCAUAUAUUUGAGUUUUUGGUGUUAUGGGUAAAUUUUAUCUUAGAAAUUUUUGGAAUUCGGGCAUGUGGUACAUAAUUUUAUUGACUUUUCGAGUGGAGUUGUGAAUUGUAAUAAAUUGGAUUAUAAUGAGUAUUUGAGUAUAUAUGGGUUUGCAUAAAUUUUAACUAGUUUUGGAGCGUGAGGCAUCGAUUUGAGCCGUCGUAAAGGUUUGAGAAUCGAUUAUAGAUCUUCGAAGUGAGGUAAGUCUCCUUUCUAAACUUGUAAGAAGGAAUUAUCUCAUAGGUGAAGUAAUUCAGUAUGUGCUGCUAUUUGUGGGGGCUAUGUACGCACGAGACGACGAGAGUUCGUGCGGAACUACUUUUAUGCUCAUGUCCAAGUAGUCUAAAGCCAAAAUCAUGUUAUAUUUUUUGCGAUGCUUGCAUCCUACUUAUUAGUUUAAUUGUUUCAAAUACAUUGGAACUUGAAAAAGGAAUUUCAAGAUGGUAAAUAUCACCUACUUACGUUUUGGACAGAUCACUUGGCCAUUAAUGGAAUUUGAUAUUUUUUAAGAUUAACCCUUAAUAAAUUAUUGAUUUGGUUGUUUGAAUGUAUUUCUUUCUUUCUGGAGCGGGCCAAAUGCUUCGGUAGACUUAAUAGAUGAUUCUAUGGUUCGUGUCGUUCGACACUCGACAAUGAACAAUUUAAAUAUUUAUGUCGGAUCAGACUUUAUGACAUCGGCAUGUUUGCACAUGGUUUAAUUGGUUUCUUUGAAAUCUAUAAUAAUUGAUUUUGCUUCAUUAGCCUGAGAUAUGAAGAUAAAUGAUUAAAAUAAUUUUGAAAAUCUUCUAUUAAUAAAAAAAUUAUUUAGUUGCUUCAUGUUAUUCAAUUUACAGUCGUUUUAUAUCUAAAAUUCAUAAUUCAUUAUUUCGACAAUAUAUUAUUACUGGCCAUAGUAAGUGUCGGAGUCGGUCUCUCGUCACUACUUCUUCGAGGUUAGACUGGAUACAUAUUAGAUACGCGUUGUCUUCAUACUCAUACUAUACUUGAUGUACAUUUUAUUGUACAGGCCCAUAUAUAUUUAAUGUCCUUGUGGGCGCAGCGAUGUGGUUGAUACGGGGACUUAGGUGCGCUGCAUCCUACUUUACGAACUGCAGCCAACAGAAUCUCCUUUAGAGUAUUUAUAUUUUCUCUGGAGAAAUGUUGUAUUUUAUUUUAUUUUUCCUAGUUGAUGCUCAUGUACAUGUGACACUCGAUUUUGGGGUGAUUGUGGGUUGUUCAGUAUUGAAAUAGUUAAAAUAUUAUUAUAUACUCUGUAAUUGCAUCCUUUUUACUACUAAAUUGAAGGA
rnacentral:lncRNA from 1 species